rnacentral:lncRNA from 1 species
GAUUGUGACACAUACCUGGGCCCAGUACCUAGGUGAUGUGGCUCUCUUGCUUGGGACCUGCCAAACAGGGGACUUUAAUAUACCUGGGCCCCACAUCUAGGUGAUGUGACUCUUCUGCUGGGCCUCGACCAUAAGAGAGAUUGCGAUAUAUACAUGGGCCCAGCCUUCAGGUGAUGUAGCUCUUCUGCCUGAGCCAGGCUCACAGGGGGAAUUGUAAGAUUUAGCUGGACCCAGCUCACAGGCAAUGAUGACUCUCAUACCUGGACCCAGUGAAGAGGAGACAUUCUGACUCUCAUAGCUAGCCUUAAGGAAAUAGAGAAAGUGCAAGAACCACCAGGUCUUAGGGCACAUGGCCAGGACCAGGAGGUACCCAGUGAAGUGCUCUAAUAUGGUCCUGUCCCACAGCCCCUGAACCAAAUAAGGACAAGCAGAACCUGAAACCAAGGAAGGCUUGGGAACUGCAGACUCCAGGACUCUUUACUAAGACUAACAGGAGGAAUGAAGGCAAAGAUCAGAUACCUGCACGGUUGAAACCGUACCCAGACUUUGGAAUUUUAGUGUCUCCUUCUUUAUUCUGUGUGCACAGCCCUCUUUAAGAGUGGAGAGAGAAACAUAACAGAAAUACAUGAAGAGUCCGGGUGCGGUGACUCACGCCUGUAAUCCCAGCAUUUUGGGAGGCCGAGGGGGGCAGAUCAUGAUGUCAGGAAAUCGAGAUCAUCCUGACUAACACAGUGAAACCCCAUCUCUACUGAAAAAUACAAAAAAAAAAAAAAAAUUAGCCAGGCGUGCCUAUAGUUCCAGCUACUCAGGAGGCUGAGGCAGGAGAAUCGCUUGAACCUGGGAGGUGGAGGUUGCAGUGAGCUGAGAUCGUGCCACUGCACUCCAACCUGGUGACAGAGCAAGACUGUGUUUCAAAAAAAAAAAAAAAAAAUACAUGAAGAGCCCAGCAUACUCCCGAGUUCCUCUCUCAGGAGCUCAUUCUAUUCCUGGAGGAUCACUGUGAGCAGGUGUAUGAAGAUACCUUGAAACUGCAUGUGGCAGGCACAAUUGCAGUAGAUUACAAAUGAAAGCCCAUCUUGAUUGGAUAUGAAGAAACCAUGCAAGGAUACUUGGAGUUGGGGGCUGGAUUUGACAUGAAGGCAGAAGACACCUUCACAAAAUUCAAAAGACCUUCAUUGCUUUCCUCACAGCAAAAUAUGAGCAAGGACAGUGCCCCUGCUGUUCCUUCCCAGGGUGGUGACAGAAAGUUGAGACACAUACAAACACUUAGCGUAGUUUACUCAGCAAGCAAGAAAAUCUUGGAAGGAAGAUUCUACUGCAGAAUUUGUGCAGCAGAUAUGAACUGAAGCAUCAGCAAAACUGAAAAGUAAUGAGAGAAUCUGGUGGCUCUGAGGUGUUUUUUUCCCUUUGUUUCCUGCUUAGUUGCUCUUUGUGGAUCCCCUGACUUGUUUUACUCCUGUGCCCUUUAUGAAUGAGUGAUGAUCAUCUUAAAAAUCAGGAUGUUCGGCCAGGUGCGAUGGCUCACGCCUGUAAUCCCAGCACUUUGGGAGGCCGAGGCGGGUGGAUCACCUGAGGUCAGGAGUUCGAGCCCAGCCUCACCAACGUGGUGAAACUCCAUCUGUACUGAAAAUACAAAAAUUAGCCUGGCUUGGUGGUGUGUGCCUGUAGUGCCCACUACUCAGGAGCCUGAGGCAGGAUAAUCGCUUGAACCCGGGAGGCAGAGGUUGCAGUGAGCCAGGAUUGCACCACUGCACUCCAGCCUGGGUAACAGAGAGAGACUCUGUCUCCAAAAAAAAAAAAAAAUCAAGAUGGUAAAAAAUAUUUUUCAUGUAUGUGUACCUUCCUUUUUACUCUUCUUCUUCUUCUUCUUCCUCUUCUUCUUCUCCUUCUUCUUCUUCUCCUUCUCCUCCUCCUCCUCCUCCUUCUCCUCCUUCUCCUCCUCCUCCUCCUCCUCCUUUUUCUCAUCCUCCUCCUCCUCCUCUUCUCCUUCUCCUGCUGCUGCUGCUUUUUUGGAUUCUUCUGCUUCUGUUUUCUUUUUCUCUUUGCUAUUAUGUACAUGCCCACCAAGAACAUGCUAGGUAUGGGGAUUUCUGCACAGAUGCUCAAGUGUUUUAUGAGAUGCCUUCUGGGAGGUAGAAUCCUUUAUGUAAGAUCAUGUGUCUUUCCACGCUUGAUACAUAUUUUUAAAUUAUCUUUCAAAAGGUAAUUGGCCAUUUAUACUCCUUACAAGCAUGCACAAAACAGCAGGUUUCCUCUGAUAACAUAGAGACCGUAUUAAGGAACAUUUAAAUUUCCAAACUGAUGGUCACACAAACUCAUAUAUUUUGUAAUUAUUUUUUAGCCACCAUUAAAGUUGGAUGCCUCUUUAUGUAGAUAAUGACAAUUUUUACUUCUUUUACUGUGAAAUGUUAUUAUAGGUCCGUG